CUGACAUGUACAGAUGUCGUUAAAGAGCACCAGCUCUUUAAAUGCCAGCGUGGAGGAGACAGAACCGCCCAACUCAAUGUAUCUGGGACCCUGUCUUGGAGAAACAGUCUUCUACUUGUGCGGACAGAGCAGAACUCUUCCAGUUUGGGGGAAACACUCUGCCAAGGUCACGGUGUGUGACGUGUGUGACGCGCGGGGCAGGAGGAUUGGAAUCAGCGGGUGAAUGUGGUGAGGAUGACAGACAGAUGGGAGUGCUGGGGGGGGGAGCAUGUGAGCGAGUUUGA
rnacentral:lncRNA from 1 species